rnacentral:lncRNA from 1 species
AAAACAAGCGGUUCGCACGUCUAAAACCACCCAGGGAACGGAGGGGUUUCCAGAAAAUAUGAGCAGAGGCCACUGCACGCUUCCACCCACCCCAAGCACCUCCCGGCGACCUCCCUGGAAGAAUACAAUAAUCCCAAGAGGCCCUGCAGGGCAUGGAGAAACUGGAAUCAGAAGGGAGAAGAGCUUUGAGUAUGCCUGAAGCCUGUGAUGCCAAGACUGUUCUCUCUGGAAGUGCCAACCUGUGUAAUAGCCAAGAGGUCCCACUGGCUCCCCUCCCCUCCCAGUGAAUUCUGCAGAGAUUAAAUAUACUGUGGGAAGGAUCUGUGUCUACAGUGUUACAUACGUGCAGGUAAGUUUUAUUUUAAAUAAACUU